rnacentral:rRNA from 1 species
AACGAACGCUGGCGGCAUGCCUAACACAUGCAAGUCGAACGGGAUCCAGGCUUCGGCCUGGUGAGAGUGGCGGACGGGUGAGUAACACGUGGGAACCUGCCUUUUGGUUCGGGAUAACCGCGGGAAACUGCGGCUAAUACCGGAUGCUCCCGAGAGGGGAAAGAUUUAUCGCCAGAAGAGGGGCCCGCGUCCGAUUAGGUAGUUGGUGAGGUAAUGGCUCACCAAGCCGACGAUCGGUAGCUGGUCUGAGAGGAUGAUCAGCCACACGUGGGACUGAGAUACGGCCAGACUCCGUACGGGAGGCAGCAGGUGGGAAU